rnacentral:rRNA from 1 species
AUACGUAGGGGGCAAGCGUUAUCCGGAAUUACUGGGCGUAAAGGGUGCGUAGGCGGUUUAUCAAGUCAGGGGUGAAAGGCUACGGCUCAACCGUAGUGAGCCUCUGAAACUGGUGAACUUGAGUGUAGGAGAGGAAAGUGGAAUUCCCAGUGUAGCGGUGAAAUGCGUAGAAAUUGGGAGGAACACCAGUGGCGAAGGCGACUUUCUGGACUCCAACGGACGCUGAGGCACAAAGGCGUGGGGAGCAAACAGGAUUAGAUACCCUGGUGGUCGACGCCGUAAACGAUGAGUGCUAAGUGUUGGGGGGUUUCCGCCCCUCAGUGCUGCAGCUAACGCAUUAAGCACUCCGCCUGGGGAGUACGGUCGCAAGACUGAAACUCAAAUGAAUUGACGGGU